GACGAACGCUGGCGGCGUGCCUAAUACAUGCAAGUCGAGCGAGUCUGCCUUGAAGAUCGGAGUGCUUGCACUCUGUGAAACAAGAUACAGGCUAGCGGCGGACGGGUGAGUAACACGUGGGUAACCUGCCCAAGAGAUCGGGAUAACACCUGGAAACAGAUGCUAAUACCGGAUAACAACAGAUGAUGCCUAUCAACUGUUUAAAAGAUGGUUCUGCUAUCACUCUUGGAUGGACCUGCGGUGCAUUAGCUAGUUGGUAGGGUAACGGUCUACCAAGGCGAUGAUGCAUAGCCGAGUUGAGAGACUGAUCGGCCACAUUGGGACUGAGACACGGCCCAAACUCCUACGGGAGGCAGCAGUAGGGAAUCUUCCACAAUGGACGCAAGUCUGAUGGAGCAACGCCGCGUGAGUGAAGAAGGGUUUCGGCUCGUAAAGCUCUGUUGUUGGUGAAGAAGGACAGGGGUAGUAACUGACCUUUGUUUGACGGUAAUCAAUUAGAAAGUCACGGCUAACUACGUGCCAGCAGCCGCGGUAAUACGUAGGUGGCAAGCGUUGUCCGGAUUUAUUGGGCGUAAAGCGCGCGUAGGCGGCUCCAUAAGUCUGAUGUGAAAGCCUUCGGCUCAACCGGAGAAUUGCAUUGGAAACUGGAAAACUUGAGUGCAGAAGAGGAAAGUGGAAUUCCAUGUGUAGCGGUGAAAUGCGCAGAGAUAUGGAGGAACACCAGUGGCGAAGGCGACUUUCUGGUCUGUAACUGACGCUGAUGUGCGAAAGCGUGGGGAUCAAACAGGAUUGGAUACCCUGGUAGUCCACGCCGUAAACGAUGAGUGCUAAGUGUUAGGGGGUUUCCGCCCCUUAGUGCUGCAGCUAACGCAUUAAGCACUCCGCCUGGGGAGUACGACCGCAAGGUUGAAACUCAAAGGAAUUGACGGGGACCCGCACAAGCGGUGGAGCAUGUGGUUUAAUUCGAAGCAACGCGAAGAACCUUACCAAAUCUUGACAUCCUUUGACAACUCUAGAGAUAGAGCCUUCCCCUUCGGGGGACAAAGUGACAGGUGGUGCAUGGUUGUCGUCAGCUCGUGUCGUGAGAUGUUGGGUUAAGUCCCGCAACGAGCGCAACCCUUAAGCUUAGUUGCCAUCAUUAAGUUGGGCACUCUAAGUUGACUGCCGGUGACAAACCGGAGGAAGGUGGGGAUGACGUCAAAUCAUCAUGCCCCUUAUGAUUUGGGCUACACACGUGCUACAAUGGACAAUACAAAGGGCAGCGAAACCGCGAGGUCAAGCAAAUCCCAUAAAGUUGUUCUCAGUUCGGAUUGUAGUCUGCAACUCGACUACAUGAAGCUGGAAUCGCUAGUAAUCGUAGAUCAGCAUGCUACGGUGAAUACGUUCCCGGGUCU
rnacentral:rRNA from 1 species